CGCAGGCAAUUAGACAAUGGAGCGGACUGGAAAGUCUCUAAGCAAAGUCAGAAGUCCAGCCGGUUGCCUGGGAUAUAGUGCUUCCAGGUCUGCUGGACACGCUGCUAGGAUGCUGAGCCCAAACCCUGGACCCUCUCAGUCUGAACUAUCUGAUUUGUGCCAGAAACAUUGGUUGCAUUAAUGGGACCGGGCAAGAUACGGACUCAAGCACAGGCUAACAGUCCAACAUGCUGUUAGCAGGCUCCUGGCAUGGUUUUGGCCCACACAGCAUCUGUCCCAGGUAUUGUCUGGUGAAUUAACAUAGGCCAGACACUGUUCCCAAUAUGUCUGAUGGACAGGACCGCUCUAUUUUGAGGGAAAGAGGGAUUGGAGGAAACGUAAGCGUAGGGAGGACCUGGAUUAUGCUUUGAAGCCAGAGAAUAUCCCCAGAUUGUUUAAUUCACAGUACAGACGUACCCACUGUGUCUAGAGGCACGGGUCAGGUUUUGUGCUGGUACUCUAGAACGAGAGGAGCUCACAGAGCCAAGCACACCGACCGGAGCCUCCUGGCUUUUUCCUGGAUGGAGCUGGGAUCCUGGAAAUCCUGGGUGCCCAAACUGCAGAAGGUGGGAUCCUGACGCCUUUUCCUGGAGGCAGCAGGAGGCAGCAAGAGGCAGCAGCUGGUCGCUGGCCUCAGCGCUCUUCGAGCUGAAGCUUUCUGGUGCAGCUCACAUCUCUUUUGCUUCAAGUCCCCUGAGCUAGCAUGAAAUGUCAGCCUUCUCAGGACUGAUGGAAGAACAAGUAUAUAAACAGUUAUGCAGGGUGAAAAAGGGGAUGCUUUCCUAAUAAAGCGAUUAUUUUUCCAUCUGGCUUAUAGAAACUGUGGUGGUGAUGGCAAUGAAGAUCCCAAUUUGACUGAGCAGUCAAAUGUAUGCAAAUUGUGGUAUGUUCUAGGACAUUUUGGCUUUUGAGGAGUUUAAAAGUGUUCUGCCACGACUGGCAACCAUCUUGCUGAUCAAGGAUGCUGUGUUUCGGAUGGAAAACCACUGAAGCCUGCGGGCUCCCAUUGCCAGCCUUGUGCCCGUCUCCACCACCACCACCGUGAGAGAGCCUGGGAGCAUCCCUUCUGCCAGAAUUCCCCAAAUAUGCACAGGGAUUUUCCUCAAAUUGUCCUUCUGAGCCUUCUGGAAGAGGGAUGGCUCACUGAACCAGAAACUGAGAAGGGAAUUAAGUGUUUCACAACGGCCGUGAGGCACACGGUGGCACUAGGUGCCUGGCGAAACAAGAUCGACUUUCUCCAGCUGGCCCUAACUGCCUGCGACCUCAGAUCUACGUCUCUGAUGGAAGAGGCGAAAGCCUGAGUAUCGCACGGCAAGACACAGACCUACUAUGAUCAAUUUUAGAUCUUCAAGUGUGAACAUAAGCAAUGACCAUUCUGGCAGCUGGAGCAUCUCAAGCCUCUCUAUAUUCCACGGAUUGGUGUUGAAUUUGUUUGCAAAAUGGAGACAAGUCCAGUGGAAAAUUUGAUGUUUUAUUGUUUUCUUCAAGCUUCCUACGAUUUUCAAGCAGCUGUAAGAGAAACUUGAGUAAACUUGCAAGCGUUAGGUAUAACACAUGGAAUUCCUUCUACUGUAUUUAUUAGCAUGG